GUUUAAAAACCAUUUUUCUUAAAAAAAACAGAGAGAAGCUCUCUCUCCCUCAUUCUCUCCGGCCAAGGGGCCGGUCUAGGGCUCCGGCGAACCUCCGCCGAGGCGCCACCGCGUGUGGCGGCCGGAGGUUCAAAAUGGAACCUUUUCGGUUCCUUUUUGAAGCCGAAGGCCUCUUAAACACGGAUCCAACGUCGAAUCUUGUGAAAGGUGAGCCCAACCCCGCCAAACGAGGAGUAACCGUCCGUCUCCUCCUCCUCCGGCGCGGCA
rnacentral:lncRNA from 1 species